AGAUCGGCAGCUUAGUUGGUAAAGCACUUGUCUAGCGAAUAAGGGUCGUGAGUUCAAAUCUCACCUGAGCUG
rfam:Aedes albopictus isolate Foshan contig39886, whole genome shotgun sequence.